UCGGGGACCGAAACUCCACGUCCCGUCAUGCUCCGGUCCAAUCGCGCCGCUGUCCUGGUCGUGACCGCGUUGCAUGCUGGGAGGCGUAGUCUCUGCCGGGCGGACGCACAGUCGUCAGGAGAUGGGACCAGAUGAGGAGCCUUUCACUGCAUGAAGACUAACAAAAGGAGAAACUGCACACAUUUCAGAGGAAUUGAGGGGGGCCCUGGGCCACUCGAGAUUCCCUGAGAAAACAGCUGAGGAAGACCACUAUAUAACCCUACUCAAAAGCUUCUUCCAACCCAGUCUCUGGCUGCAGCCUUUUCUGGUCUUCAACUAAAGGAGUCUGUUUCAGAGUUGUAUCACGAAAGCAUUCACCUUCAAAUGGCUUCUUGGAAAUGGAUGAAAAAUGGACUAUCUGCUCUCCCCCAAAUUUCCCUGAUCCCUUCAGGAGUCAGUUGGGGGCCCCUCUGUGUUGGUGCCUGUCUGUGGGCGUGGCAGCUGACGGGGGCAGGAGGGAGGCUGCUCUGUGUCUUUCCCCUUGUUUCAUGUGCUACUGUUCCUGAGGCCUGGCUUGAGAAAAGCAGGACAUUCGGUUUAGACAGAUGGAGGGCAGGGUCAUUUUCAAAAUGAAAUGAGUGCACAAAUCACACUGUGAAAUUGGCAUGACCAUCACUGCUGCUGUGAACACUGACUUUUAUUUAGUCUCUGAUAGGCAGUUGGGGAAUAGAUUAGCGUUUUUGGGGGGGAGGGUGAAAGAAGGCCCUUUAAUUAAUGAUAGAAAUUCUGGAAAGCAAUUAAUGGGAUGGAAUAUUAUAGAAUGUCAUAAAGGAUCAUUUUAUUUCCAACAAAAUCUUGGAAAGCUGAAACAUGUAUCAGUAAGUAAGUGCAUUGCACCAUUCCUAGCAAUAAGAAAGCAUUUGGAAAUAAAAUUAUUUGGUGCCUUAUUGAAAGGAUUUAGGCUUUGAGAAAAUGAAGUUGGACUCAGGGUAGAUUUUGCUGCAUAAAUGGAGCCAUGUUGACCAUAUAGAAGAAUUUCAUUUAGGCAAAAUGUAUAGGAGCUAAAAGCAUGAGGUUUGGUUCUUCGUGUGCUUAUGUUUCUCCCUGCCAAAACAUGAGAUGAUUAAAUCUCCUCUAAUUUCUAUUUGGCAUUCUCUUAUAAAGCUAAUUGGAAAUGACUGUUUCUUAUUUAUCUUGUAAAAAUAACCACUUCUUUUUAGUAAACAUUGUUUAUUUAUGU